AUAGUUCACUUGGGAGAGCGUCAGACUGAAGAUCUGAAGGUCGCGUGUUCGAUCCACAUU
rnacentral:tRNA from 1 species